UCCGGCUUAGCACCGGCAGUCCCAUUAGAGUUCCCAACUAAAUGAUGGCAACUAAUGGCGAGGGUUGCGCUCGUUGCGGGACAUAACCCAACAUCUCACGACACGAGCUGACGACAGCCGUGCACCACCUGUGAAAGUGUCCCGAAGGAAGACCGUGUUUCCACGGCUGUCACUUACAUGUCAAACCCAGGUAAGGUUCUUCGCGUUGCAUCGAAUUAAACCACAUGCUCCGCUGCUUGUGCGGGCCCCCGUCAAUUCCUUUGAGUUUCAGCCUUGCGGCCGUACUCCCCAGGCGGGGCACUUAAUGCGUUAGCUGCGGCACGGACAACGUGGAAUGUUGCCCACACCUAGUGCCCACCGUUUACGGCGUGGACUAC
rnacentral:misc_RNA from 1 species